rnacentral:lncRNA from 1 species
CUAUAAUUAACAUAUUUUUGUCAUAGGUCUGAGCAUAGACUUCUAUCAUCUAUUUAGACCUUUGGUUUUAUUUUUGGUUACCAUCUCCUCGGCAUCCUGGGUCAGUUAAGGCUGGUUCUAGGUUCAUCCUUUUCUAUGGGCUGUGCCAUGGUCUCUGAGGCAUCACUGUCAUAGCACUGAGCAUCACCUUUGUGGGAGUUCCUUCUCUGGGUUUGGAUCCAUGAUACAGCCAGGCAACAUGCUCUGGCACCCAUUUAGCAUUUCCUGGAGAAACACAAGCACACCCUCCACCCCAGAUUAGCACUGGGCUGGGUCCCUUCCACUGUCCA